rfam:Stomoxys calcitrans breed 8C7A2A5H3J4 unplaced genomic scaffold Scaffold1217, whole genome shotgun sequence.
CGUGGGGCAGUGGUUAGCACGUUGGCCUAUGAAGCCGAACGCCUGGGUUCAAAUCCCGGCG